rnacentral:rRNA from 1 species
UACGUAGGGUGCGAGCGUUGUUCGGAAUUACUGGGCGUAAAGGGCUCGUAGGCGGCCAACUAAGUCAGACGUGAAAUCCCUCAGCUUAACUGGGGAACUGCGUCUGAUACUGGUGAGCUUGAGUGCAGGAGAGGAACGCGGAAUUCCAGGUGUAGCGGUGAAAUGCGUAGAUAUCGGAAGGAACAUCAGUGGCGAAGGCGACUUCCUGGACCAAUACUGACGCUCAGGUGCGAAAGCGUGGGGAGCAAACAGG